rnacentral:lncRNA from 10 species
AGACACAGGAGAGCUGAAGGGCUCAGCAAGGGCGGCUAGGAACUUGUCCCCUGGCUGCAGGGCCCACACCAGAGUUAAAAGCUUCUUACCUUGGAUACCUUCAUCCUGCUUUGCAGAAAAGAAAAAAGAAAAAAAAAACUUUGUAAGCACGUCUACUCCCUCUUAAAGCUUUUUUAGAUAUGUUUAAAAAACCUCUACAAUUUCUCCUGUCCACAGCAAUAAAAGAAAAGAAAUUGGAAGAAGGAGUCUGUUAAAACAAUCCCAUCAAAAAGUGGGCAAAGGAUAUGAACAAAUACUUCUCAAAAGAAGACAUUUACGCAGCUAACAAACAUGAAAAAAAUCUCAACAUCAUUGAUCAUCAGAGAAAUGCAAAUCAAAGCCACAAUGAGACAUUUCACACCAGUCAGAAUGGUGAUGAUUAAAAAGUCAGGAAAUAAUAGAUGCUGGUGAGGCUGUGGAGAAAUAGGAACGCUUUUACACUGUUGGCGGGAAUGUAAAUUAGUUCAACCAUUGAGGAAGACAGUAUGGCAAUUCCUCAAUGAUCUAAAACCAGAAAUACCAUUUGACCCAGCAAUCCCAUUACUGGGUAUAUACCCAAAGGAAUAUAAAUCAUUCUAUUAUAAAGAUACAUGCACAUGUACAUUUAUUGCAGUAGUAUUUACAAUAGUAAAGAAAAGAAGUAAAGACAUGGAACCAACCAAAUGCCCAUCAUCAAUAGACUGGAUAAAGAAAAUGUGAUACAUAUACACCAUGGAAUAUUAUGCAGCCAUAAAAUGAGAUCAUGUCCUUUGCAGGGAUAUGGAUGAAGCUGGAAGCCAUCAUCCUCAGCAACCUAACACAGGAACAGAAAACCAAACACAGCAUAUUCUCAUUCGUAAAUGGGACUUGAACAUUGAGAACACAUGGACACAGAGAGGAGAACAACAAACCCCAGGGUCUGUUGGGGGAGUGGGGGGUGAGGGGAAGAAACUUAGAGGAUGGGUCAAUAGGCGCAGCCAACCACCAUGGCACAUGUAUUCCUAUGUAGCAAACCUGCACUUUCU